rnacentral:misc_RNA from 1 species
UCGCAUCAUCCCAAUGCCGGAAKAGGUGGUCGUGCUGUGACAACCGGCCUGAGAACGAAAAUUGUUGGAUACAACAGAAUCACGGUGUGCCCACCGUGUCACCGGCGAGAAGCAGUCUGGCGGCCGAAAGGCUGCUGGUUCUUCCACGUCGUUGGCGUAUGGGUGCAAACAAUAUGGGAUAUAUAGUGCCUGUUCUCGCGCUCUGUGGACUUUCGGUCGUCGUCCUCAUAGCAGACCCGUUGUGCUAAGCACGAUGGGAUGCUCGGGCUUCUUGACCGUUGUGGCUACGCUGGCGCAUGAGAUGUUGUGGACAUGUGGCUGCCUGGAGGCCCCCCGUCGUUGUGCGGCCGACUCCAGGUGCAGUGUCCUUUCAAUUGUAUGGGUUUCAAAACCUGUGUCGUUGACGAGUGCUUGCGUUCUGCUACCCGUUCUGCGGGAAGUAGAGCUUCGUACAACUUGCCUUCGUCGCGUGCGCCCUUUGGGCGUGUCGCGUCGAUCACCUAGCGCUUGCGGUGUUGCCUCGCGGCGUCAGCCAUCUAGGCCGGCAUCGUCUAGGACACCUCGCAAUC